rnacentral:rRNA from 1 species
AUUGAACGCUGGCGGCAGGCUUAACACAUGCAAGUCGAGCGGAGAUGAGGUGCUUGCACCUUAUCUUAGCGGCGGACGGGUGAGUAAUGCUUAGGAAUCUGCCUAUUAGUGGGGGACAACAUUCCGAAAGGAAUGCUAAUACCGCAUACGUCCUACGGGAGAAAGCAGGGGAUCUUCGGACCUUGCACUAAUAGAUGAGCCUAAGUCGGAUUAGCUAGUUGGUGGGGUAAAGGCCUACCAAGGCGACGAUCUGUAGCGGGUCUGAGAGGAUGAUCCGCCACACCGGGACUGAGACACGGCCCAGACUCCUACGGGAGGCAGCAGUGGGGAAUAUUGGACAAUGGGGGGAACCCUGAUCCAGCCAUGCCGCGUGUGUGAAGAAGGCCUUAUGGUUGUAAAGCACUUUAAGCGAGGAGGAGGCUACUGAGACUAACACUCUUGGAUAGUGGACGUUACUCGCAGAAUAAGCACCGGCUAACUCUGUGCCAGCCGCCGCCGUAAUAC